rnacentral:rRNA from 1 species
AGAAUAUUGCACAAUGGACGAAAGUCUGAUGCAGCGACACCGCGUGAGGGAUGAAGGUUUUAGGAUUGUAAACCUCUUUUAUUAGGGAAUAGCAAGGAAGGUACCUAAUGAAUAAGCUACGGCUAACUACGUGCCAGCAGCCGCGGUAAUACGUAGGUAGCGAACGUUGUCCGGAAUCACUGGGCGUAAAGGGUCCGUAGGCGGUUUGAUAAGUCUCAUAUGAAAACUUCAAGCUCAACUUGGAGAGGUUGUGAGAUACUGUCAAACUAGAGACUGUUAGAGGUAAGUGGAAUUCCAGGUGUAGUGGUGAAAUGCGUAGAUAUCUGGAGGAACACCAGUGGCGAAAGCGACUUACUGGGACAGUUCUGACGCUAAGGGACGAAAGCGUGGGGAGCGAACCGGAUUAGAUACCCGGGUAGUCCACGCCGUAAACGAUGAUUGCUAGGUUUUCGGGGCAUCGACCCCUCGUGAGCCGAAGUUAACGCGUUAAGCAAUCCGCCUGAGUAGUACGGCCGCAAGGCUAAAACUCAAAGAAAUUGACGGGGGACCGCACAAGCAGCGGAGCGUGUGGUUUAAUUCGAUGGUAAGCGAAGAACCUUACCAGGGUUUGACAUGUAAGUAGUACUGAACCGAAAGGGGAUGGACCCGCAAGGGAGCUUACACAGGUGUUGCAUGGUUGUCGUCAGCUCGUGCCGUGAGGUGUUGGGUUAAGUCCCGCAACGAGCGCAACCCUCUUUGUUAGUUGCACUCUCUAACGAUACUGCCCUUAAAAGGGAGGAAGGUGGGGAUGACGUCAAAUCAUCAUGGCUCUUACACCCUGGGCUACACACACGCUACAAUGGCAAGUACAGACGGUUGCCAACCCGCGAGGGGGAGCUAAUCCGAUAAAACUUGUCUCAGUUGGGAUUAUAGGCUGAAAUUCGCCUAUAUGAACGUGGAGUUGCUAGUAAACGCAGGUCAGCACACUGCGUUGAAUACGUUC